rnacentral:rRNA from 1 species
AGUGAACGCUGGCGGUAGGCCUAACACAUGCAAGUCGAACGGCAGCACAGUAAGAGCUUGCUCUUACGGGUGGCGAGUGGCGGACGGGUGAGGAAUACAUCGGAAUCUACUUUUUCGUGGGGGAUAACGUAGGGAAACUUACGCUAAUACCGCAUACGACCUACGGGUGAAAGCAGGGGAUCUUCGGACCUUGCGCGAUUGAAUGAGCCGAUGUCGGAUUAGCUAGUUGGCGGGGUAAAGGCCCACCAAGGCGACGAUCCGUAGCUGGUCUGAGAGGAUGAUCAUCCACACUGGAACUGAGACACGGUCCAGACUCCUACGGGAGGCAGCAGUGGGGAAUAUUGGACAAUGGGCGCAAGCCUGAUCCAGCCAUACCGCGUGGGUGAAGAAGGCCUUCGGGUUGUAAAGCCCUUUUGUUGGGAAAGAAAAGCAGCAGGUUAAUACCCCGCUGUUCUGACGGUACCCAAAGAAUAAGCACCGGCUAACUUCGUG